rnacentral:rRNA from 1 species
GAUGAACGCUGGCGGCGUGCCUAAUACAUGCAAGUCGAGCGAACAGAUGAGGAGCUUGCUCCUCUGACGUUAGCGGCGGACGGGUGAGUAACACGUGGAUAACCUACUUAUAAGACUGGGAUAACUUCGUGAAACCGGAGCUAAUACCGGAUAAUAUAUUGAACCGCAUGGUUCAAUAGUGAAUGACGGUUUUGCUGUCACUUAUAGAUGGAUCCGCGCCGCAUUAGCUAGUUGGUAAGGUAACGGCUUACCAAGGCAACGAUGCGUAGCCGACCUGAGAGGAUGAUCGGCCACACUGGAACUGAGACACGGUCCAGACUCCUACGGGAGGCAGCAGUAGGGAAUCUUCCGCAAUGGGCGAAAGCCUGACGGAGCAACGCCGCGUGAGUGAUGAAGGUCUUCGGAUCGUAAAGCUCUGUUAUUGGGGAAGAACAGAUGUGUAAGUAAAUAUGCACGUCUUGACGGUACCUAAUCAGAAAGCAACGGCUAACUACGUG